GCGGGUAAGACGGGUGAGCCAGCGGUGGUAGUACGGAGGGUGCAAGUGUUAAACGGAAGUACUGGGAGGAAAGGGCGCGUAGUUUGUUGGUUAAGCGAGAUGUGAGAGGCCCGGGCUCAACCGUGGAACUGCAUUUCGAACUGGCAAGCUAGAGUACAGUAGAGGGGGGCGGAAUUUCCUGUGUAGCGGUGAAAUGCGUAGAGAUGGGAAGGAACAUCAGUGGCGAAGGCGGCCACCUGGACUGAUACUGACACUGAGGUGCGAAAGCGUGGGGAGCAAACAGGAUUAGAUACCCGUGUU
rnacentral:rRNA from 1 species